rnacentral:rRNA from 1 species
AGCAGUGGGAGCCCCACCACUAAGCCAGUGGUGAACUCCACAUACGCAUCCUUUGCUGAAGGUGCGGUUAACGGAGCGCAAGCGACGUUCAACCUCAAAAGAAGCAGAGGGGGCUUAGUGGUGGGGUGACUGCGUACCUUUUGUAUAAUGGGUCAGCGACUUAUAUUCUGUAGCAAGGUUAACCGUAUAGGGGAGCCGGAGGGAAA